rnacentral:rRNA from 1 species
AGAGUUUGAUCCUGGCUCAGAGCGAACGCUGGCGGCAGGCCUAACACAUGCAAGUCGAGCGCCGUAGCAAUACGGAGCGGCAGACGGGAGAGUAACACGUGGGAACGUACCCUUUGGUUCGGAACAACCCAGGGAAACUUGGGCUAAUACCGGAUAAGCCCUCACGGGGAAAGAUUCAUCGCCGAAGGAUCGGCCCGCGUCUGAUUAGCUAGUUGGUGGGGUAAUGGCCCACCAAGGCGACGAUCAGUAGCUGGUCUGAGAGGAUGAUCAGCCUCACUGGGACUGAGACACGGCCCAGACUCCUACGGGAGGCAGCAGUGGGGAAUAUUGGACAAUGGGCGCAAGCCUGAUCCAGCCAUGCCGCGUGGGUGAUGAAGGCCCUAGGGUUGUAAAGCCCUUUCGGCGGGGAAGAUAAUGACGGUACCCGCAGAAGAAGCCCCGGCUAACUUCGUGCCAGCAGCCGCGGUAAUACGAAGGGGGCUAGCGUUGCUCGGAAUCACUGGGCGUAAAGCGCACGUAGGCGGAUUGUUAAGUCA